UAGCUCAGUGGUAGAGUACUUGCCUAGCAUGCAUGAGGCCCUGGGUUCUAUCCCAG
rnacentral:tRNA from 1 species